AUUGAACGCUGGCGGCAUGCUUUACACAUGCAAGUCGAACGGUAACAGGGUGCUUGCACCGCUGACGAGUGGCGAACGGGUGAGUAAUGCGUCGGAACGUGCCGAGUAGUGGGGGAUAACGCAGCGAAAGUUGUGCUAAUACCGCAUACGUACUGAGGUAGAAAGGGGGGGACCUGCGGGCCUCACGCUAUUCGAGCGGCCGACGUCUGAUUAGCUAGUAGGUGAGGUAAAGGCUCACCUAGGCGACGAUCAGUAGCGGGUCUGAGAGGAUGGUCCGCCACACUGGGACUGAGACACGGCCCAGACUCCUACGGGAGGCAGCAGUGGGGAAUUUUGGACAAUGAGCGAAAGCCUGAUCCAGCCAUGCCGCGUGUCUGAAGAAGGCCUUCGGGUUGUAAAGAACUUUUGUCGGGGAGGAAAUCCCCAGCGUUAAUACCGCUGGGGGAUGACAGUACCUGAAGAAUAAGCACCGGCUAACUACGUGCCAGCCGCCGCCGUAAAAC
rnacentral:rRNA from 1 species